AUAAUGGGUCAGCGACUUAUAUUCUGUAGCAAGGUUAACCGAAUAGGGGAGCCGAAGGGAAACCGAGUCUUAACUGGGCGUUAAGUUGCAGGGUAUAGACCCGAAACCCGGUGAUCUAGCCAUGGGCAGGUUGAAGGUUGGGUAACACUAACUGGAGGACCGAACCGACUAAUGUUGAAAAAUUAGCGGAUGACUUGUGGCUGGGGGUGAAAGGCCAAUCAAACCGGGAGAUAGCUGGUUCUCCCCGAAAGCUAUUUAGGUAGCGCCUCGUGAAUUCAUCUCCGGGGGUAGAGCACUGUUUCGGCAAGGGGGUCAUCCCGACUUACCAACCCGAUGCAAACUGCGAAUACCGGAGAAUGUUAUCACGGGAGACACACGGCGGGUGCUAACGUCCGUCGUGAAGAGGGAAACAACCCAGACCGCCAGCUAAGGUCCCAAAGUCAUGGUUAAGUGGGAAACGAUGUGGGAAGGCCCAGACAGCCAGGAUGUUGGCUUAGAAGCAGCCAUCAUUUAAAGAAAGCGUAAUAGCUCACUGGUCGAGUCGGCCUGCGCGGAAGAUGUAACGGGGCUAAACCAUGCACCGAAGCUGCGGCAGCGACGCUGAUGCGUUGUUGGGUAGGGGAGCGUUCUGUAAGCCUGCGAAGGUGUGCUGUGAGGCAUGCUGGAGGUAUCAGAAGUGCGAAUGCUGACAUAAGUAACGAUAAAGCGGGUGAAAAGCCCGCUCGCCGGAAGACCAAGGGUUCCUGUCCAACGUUAAUCGGGGCAGGGUGAGUCGACCCCUAAGGCGAGGCCGAAAGGCGUAGUCGAUGGGAAACAGGUUAAUAUUCCUGUACUUGGUGUUACUGCGAAGGGGGGACGGAGAAGGCUAUGUUGGCCGGGCGACGGUUGUCCCGGUUUAAGCGUGUAGGCUGGUUUUCCAGGCAAAUCCGGAAAAUCAAGGCUGAGGCGUGAUGACGAGGCACUACGGUGCUGAAGCAACAAAUGCCCUGCUUCCAGGAAAAGCCUCUAAGCAUCAGGUAACAUCAAAUCGUACCCCAAACCGACACAGGUGGUCAGGUAGAGAAUACCAAGGCGCUUGAGAGAACUCGGGUGAAGGAACUAGGCAAAAUGGUGCCGUAACUUCGGGAGAAGGCACGCUGAUAUGUAGGUGAAGCGACUUGCUCGUGGAGCUGAAAUCAGUCGAAGAUACCAGCUGGCUGCAACUGUUUAUUAAAAACACAGCACUGUGCAAACACGAAAGUGGACGUAUACGGUGUGACGCCUGCCCGGUGCCGGAAGGUUAAUUGAUGGGGUCAGCGCAAGCGAAGCUCUUGAUCGAAGCCCCGGUAAACGGCGGCCGUAACUAUAACGGUCCUAAGGUAGCGAAAUUCCUUGUCGGGUAAGUUCCGACCUGCACGAAUGGCGUAAUGAUGGCCAGGCUGUCUCCACCCGAGACUCAGUGAAAUUGAACUCGCUGUGAAGAUGCAGUGUACCCGCGGCAAGACGGAAAGACCCCGUGAACCUUUACUAUAGCUUGACACUGAACAUUGAGCCUUGAUGUGUAGGAUAGGUGGGAGGCUUUGAAGUGUGGACGCCAGUCUGCAUGGAGCCGACCUUGAAAUACCACCCUUUAAUGUUUGAUGUUCUAACGUUGACCCGUAAUCCGGGUUGCGGACAGUGUCUGGUGGGUAGUUUGACUGGGGCGGUCUCCUCCUAAAGAGUAACGGAGGAGCACGAAGGUUGGCUAAUCCUGGUCGGACAUCAGGAGGUUAGUGCAAUGGCAUAAGCCAGCUUGACUGCGAGCGUGACGGCGCGAGCAGGUGCGAAAGCAGGUCAUAGUGAUCCGGUGGUUCUGAAUGGAAGGGCCAUCGCUCAACGGAUAAAAGGUACUCCGGGGAUAACAGGCUGAUACCGCCCAAGAGUUCAUAUCGACGGCGGUGUUUGGCACCUCGAUGUCGGCUCAUCACAUCCUGGGGCUGAAGUAGGUCCCAAGGGUAUGGCUGUUCGCCAUUUAAAGUGGUACGCGAGCUGGGUUUAGAACGUCGUGAGACAGUUCGGUCCCUAUCUGCCGUGGGCGCUGGAGAACUGAGGGGGGCUGCUCCUAGUACGAGAGGACCGGAGUGGACGCAUCACUGGUGUUCGGGUUGUCAUGCCAAUGGCACUGCCCGGUAGCUAAAUGCGGAAGAGAUAAGUGCUGAAAGCAUCUAAGCACGAAACUUGCCCCGAGAUGAGUUCUCCCUGACUCCUUGAGAGUCCUGAAGGAACGUUGAAGACGACGACGUUGAUAGGCCGGGUGUGUAAGCGCAGCGAUGCGUUGAGCUAACCGGUACUAAUGAACCGUGAGG
rnacentral:rRNA from 1 species